AUGGAUCGGGAAGCUAGGAUCGGACUGCAGGAACGCAUCUACAGCGCAGUGCAGGAAUGCAGUAGGAACAGAGGAAUUGCCACAGCAGCCCAUCGUGUCGGCCCCCUCUCUCCAUCAGCUGCUGGUGCCAGAUACAAAUUCUUGAAGCGACUACGUAAAAGAAGUUCUCCUAAAACAAAUACUGAGGCGUGGCAGAAAGGAAGAAAAAAUAAGAGUAGCUGGAGAGACUGGCAGAAAGACGCAUUUUUCUUCUUUUUUUCUUUUAAAUAUUACCAUUAUUUUUUUCUCGCUAUUUACAGAUUUGUUUCAUAGAACUCAAGACUGAUUUUCUUUCUUUCCUUUUCUUGCUGAGUAGCCCUUGGUUGUUCCAUACACAGGCAGCAGCACAAACAGAGGAGGGAGCUUCUUGCUUUCUGUUUGAGGCGAGGAAGUGAAGGGCUUUAAAAGGUGACAGUGAUUUGCCAGAAAUCACGGGAAGAUGUAGCAGCUCAUUGAGCAGAGGCAGCAGUGAGGGUGCCUUGUGGAGCGCGGUGUUGAAAGGCGGUGUAUGGGAAUAUCCGUACGGCAAGUUCAUCUCGCCUGUGUAAUAGCUAGUUCUUGUUGGAAAUGCCUGCAUGAAAGCACAGCACGGUGUGCGAGCAUGAGGAAGUUCAGUGCUGUGAAGGAGUUAAGUUUUUUAGCUUAUGCCCUUGAGAUUAAUCACAGGUUCGGUAACUUAAGUCCAAUUCAGUAUCUUCCUACUGUAAUGUGACUUAAUCAGAGAGCACCAAGCACUAGGCAGUUUGCAAAAAUCACCAUGUCCGAUAUUUCGUUGUCAAACCGUUCUGAUGUUGAGCAGAAUCCACAGUUUACAAUGUGCAGCUUUGCAGCUGGCGAAGCAGCAGUGCCCCUCACUGCACCGCUUAAUAUGCUGGAAAGCCGUGUUCAUUAUCGCCCUUGGGAGCCCGCCCUGCUUCAGUGACAGCGAGGUAUGACAGGGAGAAGGCUGGAGCAGGUACAGAUCUCGGGCAGCACCGCGAGUUCUGAACGUUCCCACUGAGGUCUGCGGAAUCGUUUUCUGCGCAGCAGAUUGGAGUGAAAAAUCCUCCAGGUGUUCGGCGUUGAGGAAUGGGAUCUGAUCUUUCAGUGGGUUCGUUAGCUGGCCGAAGGGGGCUCUCGUUAACUGCAUUUCCUCAUGCUUUUGUGUGCUGGGAGCUUUCUGGAGAGUUAAGAGGAGCGUACUCAGGGUGAAAGCGUACAGAAAAUGCAGCAGAUUAGAAGAGCCUUGCGUGUAGAAGUUCCUAACCCUGUGAUGGAUCAUUUUCAUAAAGGAUUUUAGAGAUCAACAUAUUCCUCACUUGAGAAUCUUUCCAUCCUUACCGAUAAGUGUACAGGAUGAAGGCCGUCAUUAAUUUAAAUGAAUGUCUCUCGCUUAUGUCUGAAGCUUAUCCAACAUGGAACUCGUUCACUGACAAUGAAAAUAAAUGCUUUUUUCUCCUGUUCA
rnacentral:lncRNA from 1 species